GCCGGGGUGGCGGAACGGUAGACGCGGCGGCCUCAAAAGCCGCUGUCCGCAAGGACAUGCGGGGUCGAUUCCCGCCCCCGGUA
rnacentral:tRNA from 1 species